AUUGAACGCUGGCGGCAUGCCUUACACAUGCAAGUCGAACGGUAACAGGUUAAGCUGACGAGUGGCGAACGGGUGAGUAAUGUAUCGGAACGUGCCCAGUCGUGGGGGAUAACUACUCGAAAGAGUGGCUAAUACCGCAUACGACCUGAGGGUGAAAGCGGGGGACCGUAAGGCCUCGCGCGAUUGGAGCGGCCGAUAUGCGAUUAGCUAGUGGGUGGGGUAAAAGCCCACCAAGGCGACGACCUGUAGCUGGUCUGAGCGGACGACGAGCCACGCUGGGACUGAGACACGGCCCAGACUCCUACGGGAGGCAGCAGUGGGGAAUUUUGGACAAUGGGCGCAAGCCUGAUCCAGCAAUGCCGCGUGCAGGAAGAAGGCCUUCGGGUUGUAAACCGCUUUUGUACGGAACGAAACGGUCCUGGUUAAUACCUGGGGCUAAUGACGGUACCGUAAGAAUAAGCACCGGCUAACUACGUGCCAGCCGCCGCGGUAAGAC
rnacentral:rRNA from 1 species